CCGAAGAACGUCACGCCCUCGCGACGUUUGUGAUACCGUCUCGCGGGAGCUCUAGGGAGAUCGCGGUGCCGAUAUGUGCGUGCGCAGCACGCGAAAUCCACCCUGGCCUACUCGCGAAUGGAGCGACUUACUAGCGCGCUUGCUUGCGUAAUUUUCGCGGGACGUCGGCGUCUCUCAUCGUGACAACGGCCACCAGCACGGUGACUAGCUAUUUCACGUCAUGUCAACUGCCACCACGUCUGACACCCCGUUAAAUAUUACUCGUGUUUUAAAUAUACUUACUUAUAUCGCGAGUGAAAUAAAUCCUUGACCAUCAUCGUUAUCACUGUCGCCGUUAUCAUAAACAUCGAUGGACUCAAAUAACUCAAAUACCGUGCAUUGUACUCCCGCGUGAGAUUAUACUCGUAGUAACGACAUGUCUGAUAAAAAAUAAAAGUAUGAAGUGAACUGAUGGUUCCACUUCAAGUAUGAGCAGCUCUCAGGAAGAUCAUAAAAGGCCCACCUACAUCCUGAAUCCUGGAUCUACACUGUACAACUCAUGGCAAGGAUUUUUUGACAAUAAUUUUCCGUUUUCAAAACCUAAGCCAGGGUUCUAUAGAAAUCCAUAGAGUAUUGUAAUGGUCUUUAUCUUUUAAUGAUAAUUGUUAUAUAAAAAAAUAUAAAUAAAGAGCUUAGGACCCAGAGCUGACGACCUAAAGGUCGUUUACACUUUGUUGUAAAACAUAAUAAAAAGGUAUUAUAAUUACAAUCUCUCUUUUUCAAUAGUUUCCUCUAUCCUCUUU